rnacentral:rRNA from 1 species
AUUGAACGCUGGCGGCAGGCUUAACACAUGCAAGUCGAGCGGGGAGAUGUAGCUUGCUACAUUUCCUAGCGGCGGACGGGUGAGUAAUGCUUAGGAAUCUGCCUAUUAGUGGGGGACAACAUUCCGAAAGGAAUGCUAAUACCGCAUACGCCCUACGGGGGAAAGCAGGGGAUCUUCGGACCUUGCGCUAAUAGAUGAGCCUAAGUCAGAUUAGCUAGUUGGUGGGGUAAAGGCCUACCAAGGCGACGAUCUGUAGCGGGUCUGAGAGGAUGAUCCGCCACACUGGGACUGAGACACGGCCCAGACUCCUACGGGAGGCAGCAGUGGGGAAUAUUGGACAAUGGGCGAAAGCCUGAUCCAGCCAUGCCGCGUGUGUGAAGAAGGCCUUUUGGUUGUAAAGCACUUUAAGCGAGGAGGAGGCUACUUAGAUUAAUACUCUAGGAUAGUGGACGUUACUCGCAGAAUAAGCACCGGCUAACUCUGUGCCAGCAGCCGCCGUAA